AGAGUUUGAUCCUGGCUCAGGAUGAGCGCUGGCGGCGUGCUUAACACAUGCAAGUCGAACGAUGACCCGGUGCUUGCACCGGUGAUUAGUGGCGAACGGGUGAGUAACACGUGAGUAACCUGCCCUUAACUCUGGGAUAAGCCUGGGAAACUGGGUCUAAUACCGGAUAUGACUCCUCAUCGCAUGGUGGGGGGUGGAAAGCUUUAUUGUGGUUUUGGAUGGACUCGCGGCCUAUCAGCUUGUUGGUGAGGUAAUGGCUCACCAAGGCGACGACGGGUAGCCGGCCUGAGAGGGUGACCGGCCACACUGGGACUGAGACACGGCCCAGACUCCUACGGGAGGCAGCAGUGGGGAAUAUUGCACAAUGGGCGCAAGCCUGAUGCAGCGACGCCGCGUGAGGGAUGACGGCCUUCGGGUUGUAAACCUACUUUCAGUAGGGAAGAAGCGAAAGUGACGGUACCUGCAGAAGAAGCGCCGGCUAACUACGUGCCAGCAGCCGCGGUA
rnacentral:rRNA from 1 species